rnacentral:rRNA from 1 species
AUUGAACGCUGGCGGCAUGCCUUACACAUGCAAGUCGAACGGUAACAGGUCUUCGGAUGCUGACGAGUGGCGAACGGGUGAGUAAUACAUCGGAACGUGCCCAGACGUGGGGGAUAACGGGGCGAAAGCUUUGCUAAUACCGCAUACGAUCUAAGGAUGAAAGCAGGGGACCGCAAGGCCUUGUGCGUUUGGAGCGGCCGAUGGCAGAUUAGGUAGUUGGUGGGAUAAAAGCUUACCAAGCCGACGAUCUGUAGCUGGUCUGAGAGGACGACCAGCCACACUGGGACUGAGACACGGCCCAGACUCCUACGGGAGGCAGCAGUGGGGAAUUUUGGACAAUGGGCGAAAGCCUGAUCCAGCAAUGCCGCGUGCAGGAUGAAGGCCUUCGGGUUGUAAACUGCUUUUGUACGGAACGAAAAGGCUCUGGCUAAUACCUGGGGCACAUGACGGUACCGUAAGAAUAAGCACCGGCUAACUACGUG